UUACUAGCGAAUCCAGCUUCGUGGAGUCGGGUUGCAGACUCCAGUCCGAACUGAGAGAGGUUUUGGGGAUUGGCAUCCACUCGCGUGGUAGCGGCCCUCUGUACCCCCCAUUGUAACACGUGUGUAGCCCCGGACGUAAGGGCCGUGCUGAUUUGACGUCAUCCCCACCUUCCUCACAUCUUACGAUGGCAGUCUUGUCAGAGUCCUCAGCGUGACCUGUUAGUAACUGACAACAAGGGUUGCGCUCGUUAUGGCACUUAAGCCGACACCUCACGGCACGAGCUGACGACAACCAUGCAGCACCUUCACAGAUGCCUUGCGGCUUACGGCUUUCACCGUAAUUCAUCUGCAAUUUAAGCCCGGGUAAGGUUCCUCGCGUAUCAUCGAAUUAAACCACAUGUUCCUCCGCUUGUGCGGGCCCCCGUCAAUUCCUUUGAGUUUCACCGUUGCCGGCGUACUCCCCAGGUGGAAUACUUAACGCUUUCGCUUGGCCGCUUGCUGUAUAUCGCAAACAGCGAGUAUUCAUCGUUUACCGUGUGGACUACCAGGGUAUCUAAUCCUGUUUGAUACCCACACUUUCGAGCCUCAAUGUCAGUUGCAGCUUAGCAGGCUGCCUUCGCAAUCGGAGUUCUUCGUGAUAUCUAAGCAUUUCACCGCUACACCACGAAUUCCGCCUGCCUCAACUGCACUCAAGAUAUCCAGUAUCAACUGCAAUUUUACGGUUGAGCCGCAAACUUUCACAACUGACUUAAACAUCCAUCUACGCUCCCUUUAAACCCAAUAAAUCCGGAUAACGCUCGGAUCCUCCGUAUUACCGCGGCUGCUGGCACGGAGUUAGCCGAUCCUUAUUCAUAAAGUACAUGCAAACGGGUAUCCAUACCCGACUUUAUUCCUUUAUAAAAGAAGUUUACAACCCAUAGGGCAGUCAUCCUUCACGCUACUUGGCUGGUUCAGGCUCUCGCCCAUUGACCAAUAUUCCUCACUGCUGCCUCCCGUAGGAGUUUGGACCGUGUCUCAGUUCCAAUGUGGGGGACCUUCCUCUCAGAACCCCUAUCCAUCGAAGACUAGGUGGGCCGUUACCCCGCCUACUAUCUAAUGGAACGCAUCCCCAUCGUCUACCGGAAUACCUUUAAUCAUGUGAACAUGCGGACUCAUGAUGCCAUCUUGUAUUAAUCUUCCUUUCAGAAGGCUGUCCAAGAGUAGACGGCAGGUUGGAUACGUGUUACUCACCCGUGCGCCGGUCGCCAUCGGCCUUAGCAAGCUAAGACCAUGCUGCCCCUCGA
rnacentral:rRNA from 1 species